UAGUAAGAAGCAAAAAAUUGCAUUUAGUUUCGACCUAAAAAUUUGAUAGAAUAUCCUUACUUU
rnacentral:tRNA from 1 species